CCCUUAGAUGUUCUGGGCCGCACGCGCGCUACACUGACGAAUGCAACGAGCUUAUAACCUUGGCCGAAAGGUCUGGGUAAUCUCCAAAUUUCGUCGUGAUGGGGAUAGAUUAUUGCAAUUAUUAAUCUUCAACGAGGAAUGCCUAGUAAGCGCGAGUCAUCAGCUUGCGUUGAUUACGUCCCUGCCCUUUGUACACACCGCCCGUCGCUCCUACCGAUUGAAUGGUCCGGUGAAGCGCUCGGACCGCGGCCUCUUGACGGUUUUCCGUCGAUUGGCUGUGGGAAGUUCGUUAAACCUUAUCAUUUAGAGGAAGGAGAANUCGUAACA
rnacentral:rRNA from 1 species